CUCCUGUAUUACCAGGACAAUCAAAGAUUUAUACGUCAGGAAAUCUUAAACUUUUUGUCUAACCACGAAGAUAGGUACUCGUCCUUGAUCUUUUAUAAAGGAGAAGGGGCAUACGAGAAAUGCAUAUGCGAACAAAGACAAAAUGGUGAGGAGGCUGAUGCUGUCAUUUUCCAAGCUGCAGCUGACUUAUAUGGCUUGGAUAUUUACAUCACUAAUUAUAACAACUGUGGUGUAUACCGAAUAAUUAGAGCCAAGGCAGACCAAGGUGCUCGGGGAUGGCUGCAUUUACGACUGGUGCAAGAUCAUUAUGACCUCAUAACAGAUUCUUCACAAGAAGGUGCAGAAGAGCCAAGCAAUACAUAUAACUUAGCAAUACUUCCGCUAAGAACAAGGGGAAAUAAUCAAGUGUGGACUAAACCUAGUCGAGUUACUAGAAUUACUGAUAACUAAGCACCAGAAUAAGCAGAGUACGCAGUUUGAGGGCGAAUAGUACAGAGAGAUAGAUAGAAUAAAAAGAGACAAUGUUCUUUUAUAUUUGUAAAAUUAAACCUAAUUAUAAAGUAAAGUUUACUGUAUGCAUAGAAAA